UACGGAGGGUGCAAGCGUUAUCCGGAUUUAUUGGGUUUAAAGGGUCCGUAGGCGGACUGUUAAGUCAGCGGUGAAAGCCCACAGCUCAACUGUGGAACUGCCGUUGAUACUGACAGUCUUGAGUACAAGUGAAGUUGGCGGAAUGUGUGGUGUAGCGGUGAAAUGCUUAGAUAUCACACAGAACACCGAUUGCGAAGGCAGCUGGCUAACUUGUAACUGACGCUGAGGGACGAAAGUGUGGGGAUCAA
rnacentral:rRNA from 1 species